rnacentral:rRNA from 1 species
UACGUAGGGGGCUAGCGUUGUCCGGAAUCAUUGGGCGUAAAGAGCGUGUAGGCGGCCUGGUAAGUCCGCUGUAAAAGUCAAAGGCUCAACCUUUGAAUGUCAGUGGAUACUGCCGGGCUAGAGUCCGGAAGAGGCGAGUGGAACUCCUGGUGUAGCGGUGGAAUGCGCAGAUAUCAGGAAGAACACCAACGGCGAAGGCAGCUCGCUAGGACGGCACUGACGCUGAGACGCGAAAGCGUGGGGAGCGAACAGG